rnacentral:rRNA from 1 species
CCUACGGGAGGCUGCAGUGGGGAAUCUUGCGCAAUGGGCGAAAGCCUGACGCAGCCAUGCCGCGUGAAUGAUGAAGGUCUUAGGAUUGUAAAGUUCUUUCGCUCGUGACGAUGAUGACGGUAACGAGAGAAGAAGCCCCGGCUAACUUCGUGCCAGCAGCCGCGGUAAUACGAAGGGGGCUAGCGUUGUUCGGAAUUACUGGGCGUAAAGCGCGCGUAGGCGGUUUUGCAAGCCAGAGGUGAAAUGCCUGAGCUCAACUUAGGAAUUGCCUUUGGGACUGCGAGGCUUUGAGGACUGGAGAGGUGAGUGGAAUUCCCAGUGUAGAGGUGAAAUUCGUAGAUAUUGGGAAGAACACCAGUGGCGAAGGCGGCUCACUGGCCAGUUUCUGACGCUGCAGCGCGAAAGCGUGGGGAUCAAACAGGCUUAGAUACCCGAGUAGUC